rnacentral:lncRNA from 1 species
CUGGGCUCUCCUCACAGGCUGCCUGCAGUUUGUGUCCCUCCUUAAGGAUUUUGAGAUCCCUGCCCGCCGAAGGCACCAAUGCCAUGUGUGAGGAAACAUCGUUCCUUAAGCGGAGGAUCUCGGUCCUGAAGUUUGUCACUGCUCUGUGAGAUUCAAGAAGACAUUCAGAAGCUUAAAAUGGAAAAAACCAACUUGAAAGGAAAUGCAGAAGCCCUGGAUAUUUGUGACCUCAGAAAAGCAGCUGACAGGCCUGAACUUGGGCUGAGAAAACAAGCUGAAAAUUAUUCCAGUGUUAUAAAUGGCCAAGAGUUAACUCUUUCUUCAGCUGGUAAUAAAGAAGUAAAUUCCAAAGAGCCCCCUAAGUGCAGGAAUCGUGAUUUUGGAGCCCGUGAGCAGCAGCUGGUCCUGCCCCGGGUGCCGGCCCUGGCUGUGCAGAGGAGCAGCAGAGCAGCCCCACGGGUGUGACACCACAGCCUGAUCCUGCUGCACAUCCAUGGGUGUGCUGUGCAUCCCAAAGUGCUCUGACUGCCGUGGAGUCAGGCUUUGAUAUCAGGCUUUGAUAUCGGGGUGUGAGAGCACCCCGUGAUGAAAGUGUUAAACUCCUCAGCAGAAGGAGCAGCUCAGAUGGGAGCCCUCUCCCAGCCCAGGGUAACAUUUAGGUUGGGAGAGAUCCCAGUGUCAUCCAUGCAGGGUGGAAUUGGCCCUUCCCACCCACCCAAGCUGACCAAGUGUCGUAGGAAAGGGAUCAGGACACCAGGUGGUUCAUCACAGGUCCAACAGGUCCAAUUUAUUGAAGAGAGCAUCAAACACUUAUACAGCAAAUAAUAAGCUUAUGAAUAUUCUGUAAGCCAAGCAAUCUAUUGGUUAAACUAUACCAUGAACUCUUCCUCAUUCCUUAGGGGUUCCAUCUCUCUUUUCUCAUGCCUCUUUCACUGUUUGUUAUCCUACUACAGCUAGGCCUCAAGGACACGCUAUCAACACAGGUGCAGGACUUGGAAUUAGCCACGGUUUUGUACUUUUCCAGUCUUUAGCAGCUAAAUUCCCAACAACCAAGCCCCUUUUAUCAGGUGGUUUUUAUUAAUAAUUCCAGUUCUUGUUAUCCUGUGUGGCACUUUUCCCUCUCCAUUGAUCAUUUCCCUGUCAGCUGAGUGAGGAGUUUGCACAGGGAACCAUCUCCUGCUUUAAUUGAAAGGUGCUCAAUUCCCCCAAUUCUGUUUUUUAAUAGCACCAGCAGUUUCCUCCCUGCAUAACGGUGUGUUAUGGUAAUAAAAUAAAUACCACAAAAGCA